CCUACGGGAGGCAGCAGUGAGGAAUAUUGGUCAAUGGGCUUACGCCUGAACCAGCCAAGUCGCGUGAGGGAAGACUGCCCUAUGGGUUGUAAACCUCUUUUGUCAGGGAGCAACGCCGGCUACGUGUAGCCUGACUGAGUGUACCUGAAGAAAAAGCAUCGGCUAACUCCGUGCCAGCAGCCGCGGUAAUACGGAGGAUGCGAGCGUUAUCCGGAUUUAUUGGGUUUAAAGGGUGCGUAGGCGGAAUGCCAAGUCAGCGGUAAAAUCGCGGGGCUCAACCUCGCUCCGCCGUUGAAACUGGCGUUCUUGAGUGGGCGAGAAGUAUGCGGAAUGCGUGGUGUAGCGGUGAAAUGCAUAGAUAUCACGCAGAACGCCGAUUGCGAAGGCAGCAUACCGGCGCCCAACUGACGCUGAAGCACGAAAGCGUGGGUAUCGAACAGGAUUAGAUACCCCAGUAGUC
rnacentral:rRNA from 1 species